UACGUAGGGGGCAAGCGUUGUCCGGAAUCAUUGGGCGUAAAGAGCGUGUAGGCGGCCCGGUCAGCGUGCGGUGAAAGCUCGGGGCUCAACCCCGAGUCGGCCGUGCGAACUGCUGGGCUGGAGCACUGUAGAGGCGGGUGGAAUUCCGGGUGUAGCGGUGGAAUGCGUAGAGAUCCGGAAGAACACCAGUGGCGAAGGCGGCCCGCUGGGCAGUGGCUGACGCUGAAGCGCGACAGCGUGGGGAGCAAACAGG
rnacentral:rRNA from 1 species